rnacentral:rRNA from 1 species
AUUGAACGCUGGCGGCAGGCCUAACACAUGCAAGUCGAACGAGCGGCGGACGGGUGAGUAAUGUAUGGGAAACUGCCCGAUGGAGGGGGAUAACUACUGGAAACGGUAGCUAAUACAGCAUACCAUCAGAUGACCCCAGUUGGGAUGAGCUUGGUGGUGGGGUAACGGCUCACCAAGGCGACGAUCCCUAGCUGGUCUGAGAGGAUGAUCAGCCACACUGGACCUGAGAAACGGUCCAGAGUCCGACGUGAGGAAGAAGUGGGGAAUAUUGCACAAUGGGAGCAAUCCUGAUGCAGCCAUGCCGCGGGUAUGAAGAAGGCCUUAGGGUUGUAAAGUACUUUCAGCGGGGAGGCGUUACCCGCAGAAGAAGCACCGGCUAACUCCGUGCCAGCAGCCGCGGUAAUAC